AGGAGCAUGCUUUUCAUUAGAAAUUUGCUACAAUUCCUACAUUACAUCAGUGAUUACAAUUCCAAACAUAGUUCAUUAGUUAUAAUGCACUUAAAGAGUCACCGUCGGGUCAUGAAAGAUGGCUACUUUAAACCUGCUCAGCUUUCAUGUCAUUGAUUAGAUUUGUAUGCAUGCAUCUCUAAUGAAAUAUCCACGAGUGACAACAGUUAACAGAGUGGCCAUAACUGGAAUACUGGGUGGACAGAUCUCAAGUAGAAAUAUAGUUCUCUUCAGCACUUAACGUAUAGCCUAUAACAUUAGAAAUGCAAUUACUCACACUGCCUCAACCUUCCUAAUAGGGCCAGCUCAUUUAAUUGCUCAGAAGUUCACCAUACUACAUAGCAGCAGCUGCUAUCAAACUCUGUUUCUGAAAUUUAGUUCAACUGAGUUCCCGUUAUCAAGGCAUAUGAAAAUAAAAGCAUUUGGCAGCUUAACUGAUAACAAGAGUUUAAAAAAUAACCAGAGAAAAGAAACAUGAAAGGGAGAAGGAGGAACAGCAUUCACAAAUUCCUUAAAAAAUUCAAAGUGGCAAAUCAUGCUAGCUGUGGGAAGUGGAUCCAGAGGAAAUCACUGGUUUUGAGUGGUCAAAUACUACUCAAUUGAGUGUUAUUAUUACUAAUAAUCCUAGACAAUUCAGAAUCAUCACUGACAUAUGUCGUGAAAUUUGUUCUUUACUGGCAGUAAGACAUAAAAAACAGAGUGCAAAUUACAAUCUACCCAGAAAUAAAUAAGUAUCAGAAGAAGAAUAAUCAGGUUGUAUUCAUGGACUGCUAAGAAAUCUGAAGGCAGAGCUAUUCUUAAUAUGUUGAGCUUGUGUCUUCAGGCUCCUGUACUUCCUUCCUGAUGGCAGUAAUGUGAAGAAUGAAACUCCUGGAUGUUGAAUGUCCUUCACACAGCGUCCUCAAGGCACCACCUUUUGUAGGUGUCUUCACCGUCAGUGGUGAGGAGGUUUAUGCCCGUGAUGGAACUGGCUGAGUCUACAACCCUAUGCAGCCUCUGCCAUUCUGGUGCGUUGGAGCCUCCAUACCAGGCAGUGAUGUAACCAGUCAGAAUGCUCUCCGUUGUAUAUCUGACUUCUUCGUAACAUCCUCAAACUCCUAAUAAAGUACAGUUGCUGUUGUGCCUUCUUUGUGAUAGAAACAAUAUGUUGGCCCAGGAUAGAUCCUCUGCGAUGUUGAUGUCCAGGAACUUGCAGCUGCUCACCCUUCCAACUGAUGUACAUGACUAAUUAUUAAUCUGGGAUAAUCCAAGAAAGGAUGCCAUUUCAGCCACUUCACUCUGUGAAGUGUGGGCUACAUGACUUCAGCUGCAGAGUCCUGGCUGGCUGAAAUUCCCCUGCAUUAUAAAAGAAGAUGUGUCUCUCAAAUGUUAAACUACACAAUAAAACAACCAAAUGAAGUAUAGAAUCAGAGAUCCCAUUUACUUUAAUGGCCUGAGGAAUGGGGAAGCCAUGAAGCCUCACCAGACAAGUUCUCCAGUCUCAAACAAGAGAAAAUCUGCAGAUGCUGGAAAUUUGAGCAACACAGACAAAAUGCUGGAGGAACUCAUCAGGCCAGGAAGCAUCUAUGGAGAAGAAUAAACAGUCGAUUUACAGACAGGAUGGGGGUCAUUACCACAAGUUCAAGAAAUCGAUGUUCAUGCCAUCAGGUUGGAGGCUACCUAAACAAAAUAUACGGUGUUGUUCCUCCAACCUCAGGUUGGUCUUGAAAGCCACAGUUUGCAGACUGAAUUCUACAACAAAAAUAAACACUACCUCUAAAAUGUAACCAAGUAUCAAAAGAAUUCUGAAAAACCUCUAUUUCAUACCAUAUAAUUUUACACAUCAUGGAAGUUGCUGGCAUCUCCUACAUUUUACUUCACAUUCUUCCAGUCAGAUAAGUUGGUUACAAGUAUGUUUCUAAAAUCAGUACUCUGUUUAUUAUUCUUGCUCCACAGUUUCUCAUUAACAAUAAUUUACACACUGUUCUCACUGUGGUCUCUUGCUACUAGUUCAUGCAGGUUCUUCUCAUGUAGUUAUUCACAGAUGACAAACCUUAGGGGUUUUUGCUCUUCUGGACUUUUUUUUAAAACAGUGUUCAUCACUGCUUGUGUUUUCUUCACUGUGAGUUUCAUAGCAAUUGUUUUGAACAUAGAGAUCUUGGGUUGUUACUCACCAUGAAACUCUGGGUCAAAAGUGAAACAAAAAAAGCUGUAAAAACAGCAUGAUCAAUAUACAACUAUUAAAACAUGCAGACACCAUUGUAAUCAGUGUACAACUAAGAAAGCAGUACAAAAACAAUGAGCUAUAUGCAGUCAGCAAGACUUGGGGAAGCAAGUAGAAGUUCAUAAGGUAGAUCAAGCAUUAGCAAUACAGUACUUUAACAGAAACAGUAAAUACAGGAUUGCCACUUUUUGGAAAACACUUGUAAAUCAAAUGAUGAACACUAGAAUAACUGGAACCACUCAUAAGUUAUGUUCCAAAAAUAUUCUUAGAAAGUUUCCUUUUCAUGAAAUAAUGUGUACUUUUAAGUUUCAGGGGCAAUAAGUGGGAGUGAAAUUCUUAUUUGGUCUUGAGCACCAGGUACUGUACAGACAGUAAAAGCCUGGCGGUUUAAUUGGUUCUUCUGAGCCUCACAUAAUCUGAUAAAUUCAUUAAUAUUCAGAAAAUAAACAUAACAAUGGCUUCGAAAAAUUGAACUUCAAUUGAUUUUCAGCAAGUAUCCCAUGGGCUGUCAGGUUCUCAAAGCACUUUGUGAAGACAUUUUUAAUAUAAUGCUUGAAAGGAGCAGGUGACCUUGGGCUGAUGGGCUUCAACACCAUUCACCACUGGCAUUUUUUACUUGCUUUACACUAGGCCUGAUGUAAACUGAAUGCUUUAGCACUGUUUUCAGUCAACUAAUCUAUUUUCCUUGCAUUGUACGAUCAUUAGGAUGGACCUUGGCUUUAUUCCCCUACUAAUUCAUAUGAUUCUAUGAUCAUCAUUUCAUGUUUCUUCAAAAUCAGGUUUGUCAUGUAAUAAGCAUCAAAAAUAAUCAUGAAAAUCACAGGCCUAUAGUUUGCUGAGCUUUUUUCAACAGCUCUACAUUAAAAAAAAAAUCAGGUCACCAGUAUGUAGUAGUCCCAACUUUCAAAACAUCAAGUGACAGUGCUGGUGCUUUUCAAGGUUCCCCGGUGCAAGAAAUCUGCUCUCACAUCCUCCGUGAGGUUAGACCACAAUAUAUUCAUUUGAAUGAAGCAUGUAGGUCAGCGGGGAAAAUAAGUUAGAUGUCCUCUUAUUUUAUGUUUUUAAUUAUUUAAAUGUGCUUAAAAUGUUCUUCUUUAAUUAUACCAUGAGAAAAGGGGACUGACAGAAAGCAGGUUCUCUAAUAUAAACACUGUUGCAAUACACUGCUCUUUCAGAAUAAAGAUUCUCAAUGAGACCCUAGAAAAUGUGGGCUAUUCAUCUAGAAAGCAGACUGAUGAAGAAAUUUACCACUAACUUUUUGCACCAGCACAGCCUUAGAUCAACUUAAGAAAUAUGUAGAUGGAAGAACUGCAAAUGAUGGGAUCUACAGCAACAAACAAGAUACUGGAGGAGCUCAGUGGGUCAGGCAGCAUCUAUGGACAGAAAUGGACAAUCAGCUUUUUGGGUCACUAUCAAUAUGUUCAAAGGUCAAAACCUCAAACUUAGCACAAUGUUUGUGGUCUCCCAAGAAGCCAUGAUUCUGGAAAUUUGUGAGACAUGAUUGACUUAAAGCAGGUAGCUCAAAAUACUGGAAAGAUACAACAAACAUGAUCUCCAGAAAAAUUCCAGAUCAUGCACAGUUUCUUUCCAGGCCAUGUUGUUCAUUCAAUAAUACAUUGAACCUUAAUGAAGAAGGAAAGGUUAAUUUCUCCAACAAAUAUGAACUUUAAUUUAAAAUGAAUAUAAAUAAAAUCAAAUACCUUAAAAUCAUGAUGACUGAAAGGCAGAUGAUCAGGCCUGUUAAUGUUACUAAUACACCUAGUGAGGCUACAACGCAUGUAUACAUAUAUGCUGACCAUCAAAAAACGACACUCGAUACACAGAGAGAGCGCACCCUCACAACAAAAAAUGAGGUCCAAACUUCACAGUCCCAUCUCAAUUGGCUGUGAAUGCUGGAGAGCAAUUGGAGAGCUAAUGGGUAGGGUAGGCUCCAAAAAUAUGCUCACCCUCAACAGGGUCCAGCAUUCAAGAGCCAAACAGAAGAUUGAAGUAUUCACAACAAGAAAUGCUGAACAGAUGAACUAUCUUGGCUUCCUUCUUGGAGCUCUACCAUCACAGAAGCCAAGUUUUCAGAUAUUUGAUUCACUCAUAUAUUCACUUAUAUAUAUUCACUCAUAUCAGUAUAUGGAACAGUAGUAACUGACAGUAUUCCAACAACUCCACCCAAGCCCACAACAUCCACCCACAAAAACAAGAGCAAGUGCUGGACUAUCACCACCUGCAGGCUUCCCAAGUCACACACUAUUUUUGGUUUUUGAUUUGGAAACCCAUCACUGGUCCAUCAUCAUUGGAUCGAAGUCCUGCAACUGCCUACAGAGCUGGACUGUGGAAGAACCUUUACUAAAAUGACUGUAGUGAUUCAAGAAAUCAUCUCCUUCCCACCUUCUCAAAGGACAAUGGGGGAUAAACAAUAAAUGGUGUCCUUGCCAGUGAUAACCAGAUACAGAAUAAUGAAUAAAUGAAAAGCAAAUUACGGUGAUGGUGGAAGGCCACCUCUAAUUACUCCCAUUUCUUAUUGCCUUAUAAUCCUACAGAUCUCUAGAGUUCAUUCACUACAGGUUACACUGUGAAAAGUUUUUAUCAUUAUCAAAUUCUUUAUGAGACUGGUUUCAAAUUCGCUUUGUGAAGGUUUCUGCAGUUAAUAAACAGUUCAUAACAAUCAGGAUAUAAAAAACAAAACUUGUAAUAGAUUUUGGAAAAAGUUUUUUUUGUAAUUUUUUAUUGAAGAUCAUCAAACAUUUCCAUAAGAUGUAUUUCAGACAUUGUACAUAUAUAUCAUAUAAUCAUAUAUAUCACAAGACCUUGGAAAAAGUUUUAAACAUCUUUUAUGCACAUCAACGUGGGAUGGUAGCAUAGUAGUUAGCAUAACACUUUACAGUACCAGCGACUUGUGUUCAAUUCCCGCCGCUGCCUGUAAGGAAUUUGUACACUCUCCCUGUGACCGCGUGGGCUUCCUCUGGGGGCUCUGGUUUCCUCCCACAGUCCAAAGACAUAUCAGUUGGUAGGUUAAUUGGUCACAGUAAAUUGCCUCGUGAUUCGACUAGGAUUAAUUUGAGGGGAUUGCUAGGUGGUGCAGCUUGAAGGGCCAAGAAGGGCCUACUCCGCACAGUAUGUCAAUAACUAGAUAAAAAAAAUUCUAAUUCAAUACCUUUAAUAAUCCAUGAUUUGAAGGAAAAAAAGACAGGCAGAGUAACAAUUCACUCUACAUCAGUAACCUAUUACUCACAGCUAGAGCCAACAGAUAAUAUUACAAACCUAACCUGACAGAUGGUUCAAUGAAGUCACAUUGCAACUGAAAUCUUCCUUGUCAUUUCUUUCCUUGGAUGUUUCCAUGUACAAUGGAACCUUUGCUUGCCGAUGAGUAAUUUUUUCACAGAAUAGGUCAUUGAAAUAUCACAGCAUGAAGAUGACUAUUAGGUCAUUUAGGUCCACAUGAGUCCGCGUAACAGCAAUUCAAGUUCCCUUCCCAUACUUCUAGAGUAAAUCGCUUCCAGCAGUAACCUAGCAAAUUUUUCAUUCUCUCUUGCCCUUUGUCUCGCUAUUUUGCACUCACAGCUGUUGAGGGUUCUGGAAUUGAAGGGCUGUUAUGUUUUGUAACUUCAAACAUGAACUAAUUCAAAGGAAGACACACGAGCCAGGGAAUGUGAGUCUAUCUUUGUGUUAACUUGACCAAGGUGUGUACGUAUCUCGAGGAUGGUGAUAACGUAUGGAAUUCAAGUAUUUAUACAAAUAACCCGUAAUGAUUUAAAAGAACAAGCAUGCAUAAUCAACCUAUAUAUAUAUAAAACAAGAUUACUCAGAUACUACUUAAACACAUGUAAGCCCUGGUUAAGUUUUUGCUCCUAUGCUGUGUGUAUUUCACUUCAGCAGUUCCAUAAGAGCAGUCUGUUCUGCUUUCAGCCUGUUUGGGUUGGGCCGAGAUAAGGGGCUUUAUUGUUCAACUUAGGAAUGUGGUAUCACCCUAUCAGGAUGGUGGAAUUGGGAGAAGGUUCCAGCGAAUGCUGAGCGAGGAAUUUUUGUGAAGUACACUUGUGUGGGCUGAUGUCUUUUUUUAGCAGGAGCUGGGAGGAGACAGGAGGGAAGAUGGCUGAGGAUGUUGAUCCUUUGCACAAGGUGUUUUGUGCAGAUGAAAGACUUCAAGGAAGAGGGACCAAUAUUCCUGUGGGAGAGCCCAUUUGUUCGAGAUGGAUUUUGAGCGACAUUCAGAAGGCAGUAUGUGUUUUCACGCUGACUGAGGGUCCAGCACAUGAAUUACAGAUAAGUUCAAGAUGAGCUCCAACUUACGUGCAUUUUUGAUUGUUUAAUUAUAAUGGGCCCUUUUUGUUUCUUUUCCAUUUUUUUCUUUAAUAACUCUUUGCUUAAGUUAACAUUCAGAAAUAUACUUUCUUUGUAACUGUAUGCAGUAUACAAUCUGUUUUAUCUUCCUGACAGGCGAUUGCAGGGGGGCAGUAAAUCACACAGCAUUCGCACAAACUGAAAGACUUCCCAACCUCAAGGAUUUGAUGGGACCAAAAUCGUAAUCACUCUAGAUGUAUGACGCCUGUGAAAGUGAACACAUCUGCUGUUCCGCUGUUCCUCACUGCGCUUGCAAUCUCAGUCCUGAUUCCAGUCAAGGUGGCACACGAGUACAACGACCCCACGAUCAACAUCUACUGGAUAGACCAUGAAACCAUAUAUUUCACUUCAUUUAUGUCUUUUUCGUUUGAUUUUCAUCUUGAGCGUGAUUUUGGAACUGUUGGGAAUCUGAUUUACAGUUGCAGAUCGUUCGGAUGUUUCAGCACUCUGCCGUCUCUGAGGAUUCUGGGAGACAGGUAGCGUGCACAAACCUCGUGACGAGAAGGCAGCAGGACGGAUCAUGAGCCAUUUGACCAUUUAAUUGAUAAAGCGACGAGGAAGAUUCAAACAUUAAGGCAAAUGCAGAAGGUAUAUACUGAUCAAGACGCUGGGCAUUACCGUGGUAUUUUCAAUAAGCUAUCUCAUGUGUUCUUCAAGACGGUGUGAAUGAGCAAAAUAAUGAGCUGUUGGAGGAAUUCAGUGGAUCGGGAAACACCUGUCCAGGGAAAGGGACAGUCUUUAAGAAAAGCUGGGCUGGAUAAACUUUUUAGCUGUAGCCUCCUAAAACAGGUGAGGCAAUCUUUUGGAAUAGUCAGAAUAUACUUCUAAUUCAAAUGCAAAUUGCCAAUCGCCAAAAUGCAUCUGACAGUUAUCAGAGCCUGCAUGCAAAAUAGUCUUGGCACUUUUUUCAAAAAUAAAAAAAGUCCUUCAGAUCAAUUACUAAGAAAGAGUAAACAAUGCUUCAAAAUGGUGCAGUGGUUAAGAAUACAACUUCUUUACUUUGUGCCAAAAAGACUAUUUUUAAGAACUGCUUUCACAUACUAUCCAUCCUAGGAGUCACAAGUUUGGGACUCUCAAUUGAAUAAAGCAACCCCAAAUUUUGUGGGAAUUGUUUUUCUUUUGACUAUAUUCGGCACCUGCCUCCACUCAUGCACUCUGUUAACUUUGAUGGAGAAGAUAGGCUUUUUUGGAAAAGAAAGAUGUGCUUUGGACCAAAUACAUCUUUUGAAAUAACUAACUAAUAAAAAAGAUAUUUUUCAAGUUUUUCAAUGAAGAAUUUUUACUAUUUUUAAAUAGUUAAAAUAGUUUGAUUAAUUGUUAAUAAUUUUUUGAAUAUUUACAAACACAUUUUUAAAAACAUUAAGCUGGGUGCAGUUUGAAAAAAUGUCCAAGAUUUUUCAUCAUGUCUGACAGUGCAGUCCUGCCAGAUGAUGGCAUUUAUAUUAAGAAGGACUGAAUCAUAAAUUACCUUUGCUGACAGAGUUGAAGUUGGUUUUAUUGAGGAACGUACUGCUAAGUACUGCAGAGAACUAGUGAGUAGAUGAGUGGAGAGUGUGCUAAAUUUGUUGCAAACAGAAAAUUCUGAUCAAAUGGAUUUUAAAAUUAAAAAUAUAAAGAAGUUUAGUACUGACAUUUUAACUUUUAUGUUGAAUAUGAAGGUUCCAUUAUUUAUAUCCACUCUCUAAAAUAUUUAGUAGGUUGUUUAAAGAGUUUGCCUUUUCCAUCCUAGUUUGGUUACCCCAUUAGUAUUUUGUAGUGUCAUAAAUUUCUCAGUCAACUUUAUGACUGCUAUUAGUCAGUUUCCCUCUGAACUGAUGGCUUUCAGCAGCACACGUCAUAAAAGGGGAACCUCUUCCUAACGAGGUUGGAAGCUUUCAUUGAAGUCAGCAGCAGAAAAUUGCUUCACCAAUGACUACAAGUUUCAGACCAUUGUAUUAGAAAGAAUUACUGGCCGAGGUAAACAAACACAAUUUCUGUCCUUCACUUGUGUCACGCUUCAAAUAUUAUUACCACUGUCAUAAUUUUGACAUUUAUCCUUUACUUUAUAUUCUUCAUUUGAAAUACAAAGACGCAGGAUGGUUUUUUAAAAUUUGAAAAUAACUCAAAAACACAUUUUUAUUUGCAUUCCAAACAGCCUUCAACUGAACUUUUGUGGUCAGAUUUGACAACUGAAUAAUACCUGGAGAAUUGCGUAAAUUUAAUACUUCUCAGAAUCAGGUUUAAUAUCACCGACAUAUAUUGUGUAUUUGUUGAACUACUUUUUUCAAUAAGUGUUAUGAGAUUUCAAAUGUUUGUUAUUUAACAGUAACUUAAAAUAUUUUUCCUAUUCUAUUUUUAAAUAUACUACCUAGCACAUAAACUUUUAUCUGACAUGUCCCUCAUCAAUAGUUCCUGCUAUAAAAAAUGUUUUCUAAUAUUAAUGCAGUAUCAAGGCCUUCCUAUGCCCUAUCUUUAUCAGAGGAAUGCACAGUGGGUUUGCAUUUGAUCUUCAAAAGUAGUAAGUAUAUUUCAUGAUGAACUGUGUAUCCUCAUUUUCAUUUCAAUGCCUGAAUACCUCAUUACUGUUGGCUGUAUAUUAACUAGAACAUGAACAGGAAGGCUGUUGAAGGAUACAAAGAGCAGAUUUUGCGCAGAAAAAUGACAUUUACUCCCUCGAUUUGUUUGCUAUCCUUGCCAACUUAACCCAGCUGAUCUCUACUGAUCCUUCACUUGUCAUUAUCUGUCUUGCUGCCAUGGUAACCCCUACUAUUGUACACAAUGCAUAUGCAGGUGUUUGUUUGGAAUAUAGCCGUCCUUCCCUUUUCUCAUCAGGGUCAUAACAACUGAGCACCAUUAAAUCUUGGGAAAGCUGAUGGCUUUGUUAAAUUGUCAAUCUCCUCAACAAAACCUUUCGCACAGAGGAGUUGGUUCAUUCUAUACUUACUGUAUUUUACCAAACCCCAUCUUUUCUUUUACUUUUUUAUAGCCUCCAUCCAAAUUCCACUCAUUGGUCUAUGAAAUUUCAUGUUAGUUGUAAAUUUGAGGUAAAUCAGAAAUCAUGCUGAUUCGUUAUGUCAGUUGUAGGUACAGAUUUUAUGUACAAAUGGAAAGGAUUAAGAGAUAAUCAGUGUGACUUCAGAAAAACCUGUCCCACUGAUUUGGCUGGGUGUUUUGUGGAGGUAAAGUAGUUUGAUGAAGCUAGGAUGAUGGACUUUCAUAAGGUCCCAUGUGGUAGGCUGCUCCAGAAGAUUAAGGUACAUGGGACCCAAAUUACACUGGCUAAUUAGAUACAAAAUUUGCCUGGUGACAGGAGGUGGAGGGUAGUGCUUUUCUGAUUGGAACUCUAUGUCUGCUUGCAUACUGCAGAGAUCAAUGCUGGCACCUUCUUUGUUUGUGGUCUUAAUCUCAUGGAAGUGAAUGGAGCAGAGAUGUGGUAUGCGAAAUUUUGUAAAAUAUUAGAUGAAAUUCUGACACUUGAAUUCUUUAUGAGCUCACAGCAAGGAAGGUGUCAAGGUUAAACACCUUAGGUUUGUUAAAUGUUUGCUGAUAGCAGCCACAGUAUUUACUGGCCUCAAGGCAUCAGUAGCAUGAGAACAAAAGACCAGAGUUCAUCUGUUUCUCAAUGCUUGUGGAACUAUAACAUCUCUAUUUCUCCCUUUCAGGGUUCUUUUGAAGACCCUGACCUGGAGUUACAUGCUGAGUUCGGUUUGUUGUGGGAAUGGGACCCACUCUCGGGGUUUCACAACCGGCCGCUUCUCGAAAUGCAGCCUGGAAGAUUUAUCACGCCUUCAGGGUGCCGGAUCUUCAUGGCUCUGGAGGUGGGCAGACUCGAGGCUGGUGCGUCGUGGGAGACGGAAGAUCGAAAGCAGCGAACUGGCUGCUGUCUGUGUGCUCAGAGACCCGAGUUCUUUGGGCACAGAGCACAGACUGUUAAUAUCAUAAAUCGUUCACGGGACUUCACCUAGACUGAAGGAUGGUGAUUUCACAAGUCGGAAUUCAGAGUUCCGACAACAACGGUAAUCAAAUUCCCCGACAACAGCAACAAUCAAGUGAGACUACAAAUCGUGAGCACUAAAACUUGUGUAACUUGCUACAUGGAAUUAUGUGUGGUUUAUUUAUGCUUUCUGCUUCAUGAUAAUAAAUUAUG